UGGGGAAUAUUGCACAAUGGGCGAAAGCCUGAUGCAGCAACGCCGCGUGAGUGAUGAAGGCCUUCGGGUUGUAAAGCUCUGUCUUCUGGGACGAUAAUGACGGUACCAGAGGAGGAAGCCACGGCUAACUACGUGCCAGCAGCCGCGGUAAUACGUAGGUGGCAAGCGUUGUCCGGAUUUACUGGGCGUAAAGGAUGCGUAGGCGGAUACUUAAGUCAGAUGUGAAAAUCCCGGGCUUAACUUGGGAACUGCAUUUGAAACUGGGUAGCUAGAGUGCGGGAGAGGAUAGUGGAAUUCCUAGUGUAGCGGUGAAAUGCGUAGAGAUUAGGAAGAACACCAGUGGCGAAGGCGACUUUCUGGACCGUAACUGACGCUGAGGCAUGAAAGCGUGGGGAGCAAACA
rnacentral:rRNA from 1 species